rnacentral:rRNA from 1 species
CCUACGGGGGGCAGCAGUGGGGAAUAUUGGACAAUGGGCGAAAGCCUGAUCCAGCCAUGCCGCGUGUGUGAAGAAGGCCUUCGGGUUGUAAAGCACUUUCAGUGGGGAAGAAAGCCUUGGGGCUAAUACCCUCGAGGAAGGACAUCACCCACAGAAGAAGCACCGGCUAACUCCGUGCCAGCAGCCGCGGUAAUACGGAGGGUGCGAGCGUUAAUCGGAAUUACUGGGCGUAAAGCGCGCGUAGGCGGUCUGAUAAGCCGGUUGUGAAAGCCCCGGGCUCAACCUGGGAACGGCAUCCGGAACUGUCAGGCUAGAGUGCAGGAGAGGAAGGUAGAAUUCCCGGUGUAGCGGUGAAAUGCGUAGAGAUCGGGAGGAAUACCAGUGGCGAAGGCGGCCUUCUGGACUGACACUGACGCUGAGGUGCGAAAGCGUGGGUAGCGAACAGGAUUAGAUACCCGAGUAGUC